rnacentral:rRNA from 1 species
CCUACGGGUGGCUGCAGUGGGGAAUAUUGGGCAAUGGGCGCAAGCCUGACCCAGCAACGCCGCGUGAAGGAAGAAGGCUUUCGGGUUGUAAACUUCUUUUCUCAGGGACGAAGACAGUGACGGUACCUGAGGAAUAAGCCACGGCUAACUACGGGCCAGCAGCCGCGGUAAUACGUAGGUGGCAAGCGUUAUCCGGAUUUACUGGGUGUAAAGGGCGGGUAGGCGGGGCGGCAAGUCAGAUGUGAAAGCCACGGGCUCAACCUGUGGCCUGCAUUUGAAACUGUAGUUCUUGAGUACUGGAGAGGCGGACGGAAUUCCUAGUGUAGCGGUGAAAUGCGUAGAUAUUAGGAGGAACACCAGUGGCGAAGGCGGUCUGCUGGACAGCAACUGACGCUGAGGCGCGAAAGCGUGGGGAGCAAACAGGAUUAGAUACCCUUGUAGUC